UACGUAGGGUGCAAGCGUUGUCCGGAAUUAUGGUGCGUAAAGAGCUCGUAGGCGGUUUGUCGCGUCUGCUGUGAAAACCCGAGGCUCAACCUCGGGCCUGCAGUGGGUACGGGCAGACUAGAGUGCGGUAGGGGAGAUUGGAAUUCCUGGUGUAGCGGUGGAAUGCGCAGAUAUCAGGAGGAACACCAAUGGCGAAGGCAGAUCUCUGGGCCGUAACUGACGCUGAGGAGCGAAAGCAUGGGGAGCGAACAGG
rnacentral:rRNA from 1 species